GCCUUUGUGGUGUAAUGGUAGCAUAUUCGGCGUGUAUUCGGGAGGUCCGAGGUUCGAGUCCCGGCUAGGGCA
rnacentral:tRNA from 1 species